rnacentral:rRNA from 1 species
AUUGAACGCUGGCGGCAGGCCUAACACAUGCAAGUCGAGCGGAUGAAGGGAGCUUGCUCCUGGAUUCAGCGGCGGACGGGUGAGUAAUGCCUAGGAAUCUGCCUGGUAGUGGGGGAUAACGUCCGGAAACGGGCGCUAAUACCGCAUACGUCCUGAGGGAGAAAGUGGGGGAUCUUCGGACCUCACGCUAUCAGAUGAGCCUAGGUCGGAUUAGCUAGUUGGUGGGGUAAAGGCCUACCAAGGCGACGAUCCGUAACUGGUCUGAGAGGAUGAUCAGUCACACUGGAACUGAGACACGGUCCAGACUCCUACGGGAGGCAGCAGUGGGGAAUAUUGGACAAUGGGCGAAAGCCUGAUCCAGCCAUGCCGCGUGUGUGAAGAAGGUCUUCGGAUUGUAAAGCACUUAAGUUGGGAGGAAGGGCAGUAAGUUAAUACCUUGCUGUUUUGACGUUACCAACAGAAUAAGCACCGGCUAACUUCGUG